GACGAACGCUGGCGGCGCGCUUAACACAUGCAAGUCGAGCGAGAACCAGGGCUUCGGCCCUGGGGACAGCGGCGAACGGGUGAGUAACACGUGGGUAAUCCACCCUCGGCACCGGAAUAGCCCGGGGAAACCCGGAUUAAUGCCGGAUGGCCCGCCGGCCCUGCGGGGCUGGCGGAAAAGGUAGCUUCGGCCUCCGGCCGAGGACGAGCCCGCGACGGAUUAGCUUGUUGGUGGGGUAACGGCCUACCAAGGCUGCGAUCCGUAGCUAGUCUGAGAGGACGAUCAGCCACACUGGGACUGAGACACGGCCCAGACUCCUACGGGAGGCAGCAGUGGGGAAUCUUGCGCAAUGGGCGAAAGCCUGACGCAGCGACGCCGCGUGAGGGAAGAAGGCCUUCGGGUUGUAAACCUCUUUCAGGAGGGACGAAGCCACUCGGGUUAAUAGCCCAGAGGGUGACGGUACCUCCAGAAGAAGCCCCGGCUAACUACGUGCCAGCAGCCGCGGUAACAC
rnacentral:rRNA from 1 species